UACGGGGGGAGCAAGCGUUGUUCGGAUUUACUGGGCGUAAAGGGCGCGUAGGCGGUCAGCACAAGUCAGUUGUGAAAUCUCCGGGCUUAACUCGGAAAGGUCAACUGAUACUGCGGGGCUAGAGUGCGGAAGGGGCAACUGGAAUUCUCGGUGUAGCGGUGAAAUGCGUAGAUAUCGAGAGGAACACCUGCGGCGAAGGCGGGUUGCUGGGCCGACACUGACGCUGAUGCGCGAAAGCCAGGGGAGCGAACGGG
rnacentral:rRNA from 1 species